GACAGAGGGGGCAAGCGUUGCUCGGAAUCACUGGGCGUAAAGGGCGCGUAGGCGGGAUGGCAAGUCGGUCGUGAAAUCUCUCGGCUCAACCGAGAAACGUCGGCCGAUACUGCCGUUCUUGAGGGAUGCAGAGGAGACUGGAAUUCCCGGUGUAGCAGUGAAAUGUGUAGAGAUCGGGAGGAACACCGGUGGCGAAGGCGGGUCUCUGGGCAUUUCCUGACGCUGAGGCGCGAAAGCGUGGGGAGCAAACGGG
rnacentral:rRNA from 1 species